UGUUACACCACAUUCAGUUAGAUAACUGUUGGUUUUGUCAGUACCUAGACUGCUGUCAAUGAAAUGAACAGAGACUUAAAUUUCAUCUUUCUAGGUGCCAAGUGGAUCAAGAGUCUGCUGAAUUCUUGUUUUUUAGUGAUACAGUGAUUAUAGAUCUAAGGCUGGCGAUUUUGACUUAGUAGAUGUGUAUUAGUGCUGUUCUCUACUUUUAAGAUGUCCAAAAUGAAGCUCAAAGGAAGCUUGGAAUGGAGAAAAUGGUUUCUUGAGGUUUCUUCUCAUGAAAGCUGAUAGAAGUAUCCUAGAACUUCAUAUCCUUUUAUAUACAUAUUUUACAGAAUCUGUCUUAACUGUAAAAUAAUCGGAACAUGAAACCUACCAAAUAAUAAAGGCUAUUGCUGUUGAUCUUGGAUUCUCAACAGAA